CAAUUGACACAUAAGUAUUUUAGAUUCGGAGUGACAUGUCUUUAACUGAAAAAAUGGAUUGAUCAAUGAAAACAUUUGGUUUCUCCACAUCAUUGGAAUUGUGUUUGCACAUUCUUCUUCGUUCAUUCACCCUUACAAUCUUUUUGUUCUCUGAAGUUUGCAAAAGAAAAGUGAAAAUCAGAUGAAUUACUGCAAUCAGAUCAGUUUUCAUUGCAGAUCUGCUCUCUCAUGCCCUAACCGCCGCGUUUCUCUCUGUCAAGCAGAUCGACUCGAGCCUAGAGCCGAAUUGAGAGAUGGGUACCACCGCCUUUCUCACCAUGAAUAAAGAUCGAGUGGUGCCAAGAGUUGAAUUGCGAGCUGGGUUUUAGUUUGGUUGUGUCUCUGAGAUUUUAUUAGAAUUGUUAUCAGACUAAGAGGGAAAUCUAGAUCAUGAAAUUGGUUCGUCAUGUUGUUCGUUUUAAGUCUUAUUCUUUCCUCUACUUUAUACUGAGAAGUUUAUAUCUAUCUUCAUAUGCAAGUUGAUUCUUUGUUGUUUAGGUUCUAGCAUGCCGUACAAAUAUUUAAAUCAUCUUGGAGUAUAUUACAGGUGGUGAACUGUUUAAUAAAAUUGUGAAUUAUCUUAGUUCUCGACUCAACUACUUCAGGUGAUGAUGAUCUUUGGAAGACAAUGUUUAUCAGUUGUUACAUGUUAUAGGUUCGUAAUGAAAGUCUUAGUGAAUCAGAAGCUAGGAAGUACUUUCACUAGCUUACCGAUGGAGUUGAUAGUAAAUGGGGUUUACCACAGAGAUCUAAAGCCUAAAAAUCUUCUGCUACACUCUCAAGGAAAUCUCAAAAUAUCUGAUUUUGGGCUCAGUGCAUUACCAGAACAAGGAGUUACCAUUCUAAAGACAACUUGUGGAACUCCAAAUUACGAUGCUCGUUAGAUUUUGAGUCAUAUGGGUUACAAAUGUGUUGUGUCAGAUGUAUGGUCCUAUGGGGUAAUCAUGUUCUGAGUCAUAAGGGUUACAAAUGAGCCUUAUGAUGAGAGAACGCCUCAUGUUCCAGAUCCUAUAUCGCAGGACCAAUAAUAGCUUGAAGAUGGGGCUGAUGGUUACCUUCAGUCCAAAUUUUAUAAGUGAAGAUCAAGCAAGUUGCAUGGGCUAUAUCCCAAUUUAGAGGGAAGAGUAACACACACGUGCAUAACGUGUUAUUGGGGAGUUAUUGGGGAAAGCCAGCUGAUUCUAGAAUAUUGAGUGCCAAGCAACUGUUGGAGCUGUGUGAGACGAAUAAGAUUCCAUGCAUUCUGCUACCGAGAGAGGUAGAUAUGUCUUCCACUACAGCUGAAAAACACGUUUGUACCUUUGUACUUCUUAAUGUCAUGUGUUCCUCUUGGUUAAAAUAACUUUUUGGCUUUCUUAUAGAAGCAUGAUUAUUGGUGAUUUGGGUUUUUGGUUU